UACGGAGGAUGCGAGCGUUAUCCGGAUUUAUUGGGUUUAAAGGGUGCGCAGGCGGCGUGUCAAGUCAGCGGUAAAAUGUCGGGGCCCAACCCCGGCCGGCCGUUGAAACUGGCGUGCUCGAGUUGGAGAGAAGUAUGCGGAAUUCGUGGUGUAGCGGUGAAAUGCAUAGAUAUCACGAAGAACCCCGAUUGCGAAGGCAGCAUACCGGCUCCACACUGACGCUGAGGCACGAAAGCGUGGGUAUCGAACAGG
rnacentral:rRNA from 1 species